rnacentral:rRNA from 1 species
AUUGAACGCUGGCGGCAGGCCUAACACAUGCAAGUCGAACGGUAACAGGAAGAAGCUUGCUUCUUUGCUGACGAGUGGCGGACGGGUGAGUAAUGUCUGGGAAACUGCCUGAUGGAGGGGGAUAACUACUGGAAACGGUAGCUAAUACCGCAUAACGUCGCAAGCCCAAAGAGGGGGACCUUCGGGCCUCUUGCCAUCGGAUGUGCCCAGGUGGGAUUAGCUAGUAGGUGGGGUAACGGCUCACCUAGGCGACGAUCCCUAGCUGGUCUGAGAGGAUGACCAGCCACACUGGAACUGAGACACGGUCCAGACUCCUACGGGAGGCAGCAGUGGGGAAUAUUGCACAAUGGGCGCAAGCCUGAUGCAGCCAUGCCGCGUGUAUGAAGAAGGCCUUCGGGUUGUAAAGUACUUUCAGCGGGGAGGAAGGGAGUAAAGUUAAUACCUUUGCUCAUUGACGUUACCCGCAGAAGAAGCACCGGCUAACUCCGUG